rnacentral:rRNA from 1 species
GAUGAACGCUGGCGGCGUGCCUAAUACAUGCAAGUCGAGCGAACAGACGAGGAGCUUGCUCCUCUGACGUUAGCGGCGGACGGGCGAGUAACACGUGGAUAACCUACCUAUAAGACUGGGAUAACUUCGGGAAACCGGAGCUAAUACCGGAUAAUAUAUUGAACCGCAUGGUUCAAUAGUGAAAGACGGUUUUGCUGUCACUUAUAGAUGGAUCCGCGCCGCAUUAGCUAGUUGGUAAGGUAACGGCUUACCAAGGCAACGAUGCGUAGCCGACCUGAGAGGGUGAUCGGCCACACUGGAACUGAGACACGGUCCAGACUCCUACGGGAGGCAGCAGUAGGGAAUCUUCCGCAAUGGGCGAAAGCUUGACGGAGCAACGCCGCGUGAGUGAUGAAGGUCUUCGGAUCGUAAAACUCUGUUAUUAGGGAAGAACAAAUGUGUAAGUAACUAUGCACGUAUUGACGGUACCUAAUCAGAAAGCCACGGCUAACUACGUG